CUGCGAGUUGGAGCGGACUGGAAUUCCGCUUCCCUUCCGUCCCGAAGUUUCUGCGCGGUGUCAACACACACAGUAGGACUCCUCUGCUGACUCGUCCUGCUGCGCUGAAAGGGAACACGCCUCACAGGACAGGAAGAGGGUGGGAUUGCCAGUCUCUUAAGAAGCAGUGAAUUGUUCCCAGUUCCUGGCCUGCAGCAGCCGUGAGAAGCAGUGUUGUGUUCCCAGCCAUGAGUGUAAUGGAGGGCUUUCCUGUCCACUGAGUGUG
rnacentral:lncRNA from 1 species